rnacentral:lncRNA from 1 species
GAAUAUCAUGUGUCAAGGAUUGCUAGUAACUAUUUGCCUACUUUCAGUAACCUUCAUUAUAGAUGCUUGAUGGGAUCAGCUACUUGUCGAAGAUGUCAACAUGGAGGGGAAACACGGAAGCAUAUAUUCAGGGAGUGUCCUUCAGCAAAAGAGACACGGGAAAGCUUAGGGGUUUUUUCGCCUAACACAGAAGCAAGUACAGAUUUCAAUGAGUGGUUUAAAAAAUUGUUCCAAUCCUAUUCAUUGGCUAAGUGUAGGUUGAUAGCAUGCACUAUGUGGGCUUUAUGGACAUCAAGAAACAGAUUCAUUCAUGAAGGAGUUUCUACUUCUGGUUCUCAAAAUGCAGAUUAUGUUAAAAACUCCCUAAAAGAACUUGAUGGAGUGAAAACGGACUUACCAGCGAGGCCGAUUCUUACUGACAGAUGGGUUGCUCCGACUGGACCGAGGGUAAAAAUCAAUUUUGGCGCUACUUUUAACAAACAGAGGAAUGGGUCAUGUUUUGGAAUGGUAGUAAGAAAUGAAAAAGGAGAUGUGAUUUGCUCUAAAAUAGUGUUUCAUUCAAGUUUACCUUCUGUUUUUACUGCAGAAGCGUUGGCGGGUUUCUGGGCGAUUCAUCUCGGUUUAUUCCUUCAGUUAAGAGAGGUUGAAAUUGAAGGGGACUCUCGUUCAGUCAUCUGCAAACUGCAAGAGCAAAAGGAUGAUAGAUUAGAGAUCGUAGGUAUUAUAAAAGACUCUAAAAAACUGAGCUAUGGUAUUGUCUUUUGUAUUUUUCAUUUUACCCAUCGCGAAUCAAACCAAGUUGCUCACUUUAUUACUAUCGAGGGUCUUAAGAAAAGAGAAAACUCUUAUCUGGCGAAUAUGGUCUUUUCUGGCGCGGAGGAUGCGAUGCUUGCUGAUCGGAGGGGACUGGAGUUCAGGUGAAAAUGAAGAGCUGCUUGUGUGGUGAUUUUGGAUUUGGAAAAUGAAGGGUUAAGGGUUGUGCUGUUUUUUUUCCUUUUUUCUUCGGUGAUUUUGAUUGAUGUUGAUGCUUAUUCAGGGCAAGUAAUGAUGAAGCAACGUUUUCCAAUAAAUUUUGUUGUUUUUGAUGUGGGAUUCCAAUUUGGAUAAUAACAGGAUGGAAAUAUCUGGAGUCCCCCCACCUGUUGAGCUAGAUCUUUUGCUGAUGGGCUGCUAUGUAUUGUUCUUUUGUUUUGUUUUUUAUGUUUUGAUUUUGGGCUUGGUUUCCUUGAAC